GGUAAGACCGAGUGAGGAAAGAGAGUGAGACUGUUUUUGACUCAAAAAAAAUCAGGGGUAGGUUGGUUUUGGAUGCAUAGAAGACGAUGAGGAAACUUAUGUGGCUGAUCCUCCGCUUGAUUACUGCCCGGCUAAUUGCUGCUGGCGGUUCCAUGGCUGGAUUUGAUUUUUGCCUUACUCAUCUGAGUCUUUCACUGCUCUAAUUUUGAUUUCUCAAGAUAGCUAAUGGCUAUUCAAGAUAGGAUAGAGUUGGAUUUUGAAGUCUCUUUACUACAAGAAAUGGAUUAUUGGUCUCUGACUAGUGAAAUCUCUCAGUUGAAUUUCAUCUCCAAGGUUGCUAAGUGCUUGCCAUUUGAAUGGAAUAUAAACUUUGGAUUCGCAUGGAUCCACUUCUUUGGGUCUCACAGUUAUUGUUUAGCAAAUCUCAUAAUGUAUGUUUGGAUGGAAGUUUUUAAAAUAAGGGAUUUAGAUAUGAUAGUAGUUCAAAUUAUGUGAAAGAAAAUUUGCACAUUCUUCAAUUGAUUUAUUUUUAUAAAUGUGUAUGGAGCUUAUUUGAUGUGGUUUUGAAAUUACAGUUUUUUAAUAGUAA